CGGACGGGUGAGUAAUGUCUGGGAAACUGCCUGAUGGAGGGGAUAACUACUGGAAACGGUAGCUAAUACCGCAUAACGUCGCAAGACCAAAGAGGGGGACCUUCGGGCCUCUUGCCAUCGGAUGUGCCCAGAUGGGAUUAGCUAGUAGGUGGGGUAACGGCUCACCUAGGCGACGAUCCCUAGCUGGUCUGAGAGGAUGACCAGCCACACUGGAACUGAGACACGGUCCAGACUCCUACGGGAGGCAGCAUG
rnacentral:rRNA from 1 species